AGAGUUUGAUCCUGGCUCAGGACGAACGCUGGCGGCGUGCUUAACACAUGCAAGUCGAGCGAUGAAGCUUCCUUCGGGGAGUGGAUUAGCGGCGGACGGGUGAGUAACACGUGGGUAACCUGCCUCAAAGUGGGGGAUAGCCUUCCGAAAGGAAGAUUAAUACCGCAUAAUAUAAGAGAAUCGCAUGAUUUUCUUAUCAAAGAUUUAUUGCUUUGAGAUGGACCCGCGGCGCAUUAGCUAGUUGGUAAGAUAACGGCUUACCAAGGCAACGAUGCGUAGCCGACCUGAGAGGGUGAUCGGCCACAUUGGAACUGAGACACGGUCCAGACUCCUACGGGAGGCAGCAGUGGGGAAUAUUGCGCAAUGGGGGAAACCCUGACGCAGCAACGCCGCGUGGGUGAUGAAGGUCUUCGGAUUGUAAAGCCCUGUUUUCUAGGACGAUAAUGACGGUACUAGAGGAGGAAGCCACGGCUAACUACGUGCCAGCAGCCGCGGUAAUACGUAGGUGGCGAGCGUUGUCCGGAUUUACUGGGCGUAAAGGGUGCGUAGGCGGAUGUUUAAGUGGGAUGUGAAAUCCCCGGGCUUAACCUGGGGGCUGCAUUCCAAACUGGAUAUCUAGAGUGCAGGAGAGGAAAGCGGAAUUCCUAGUGUAGCGGUGAAAUGCGUAGAGAUUAGGAAGAACACCAGUGGCGAAGGCGGCUUUCUGGACUGUAACUGACGCUGAGGCACGAAAGCGUGGGUAGCAAACAGGAUUAGAUACCCUGGUAGUCCACGCCGUAAACGAUGGAUACUAGGUGUAGGGGGUAUCAACUCCCCCUGUGCCGCAGUUAACACAAUAAGUAUCCCGCCUGGGGAGUACGGUCGCAAGAUUAAAACUCAAAGGAAUUGACGGGGGCCCGCACAAGCAGCGGAGCAUGUGGUUUAAUUCGAAGCAACGCGAAGAACCUUACCUGGACUUGACAUCCCUUGCAUAGCCUAGAGAUAGGUGAAGCCCUUCGGGGCAAGGAGACAGGUGGUGCAUGGUUGUCGUCAGCUCGUGUCGUGAGAUGUUAGGUUAAGUCCUGCAACGAGCGCAACCCUUGUUAUUAGUUGCUACCAUUAAGUUGAGCACUCUAAUGAGACUGCCUGGGUAACCAGGAGGAAGGUGGGGAUGACGUCAAAUCAUCAUGCCCCUUAUGUCCAGGGCUACACACGUGCUACAAUGGUAGGUACAAUAAGACGCAAGACCGUGAGGUGGAGCAAAACUUAUAAAACCUAUCUCAGUUCGGAUUGUAGGCUGCAACUCGCCUACAUGAAGCUGGAGUUGCUAGUAAUCGCGAAUCAGAAUGUCGCGGUGAAUACGUUCCCGGGCCUUGUACACACCGCCCGUCACACCAUGAGAGCUGGUAACACCCGAAGUCCGUGAGGUAACCGUAAGGAGCCAGCGGCCGAAGGUGGGAUUAGUGAUUGGGGUGAAGUCGUAACAAGGUAGCCGUAGGAGAACCUGCGGCUGGAUCACCUCC
rnacentral:rRNA from 2 species